CGUUGUCAGGAAGGAUCAUCCAUUCAGUAUCGACGACGAAAGCCAACAAUCCCAUAUCUUCUCGACUUAGAUAAAGUAAAGAUUGACAUAUCUAAGCUGAAGUCUAUCAAAGUCCCUGCUGGAGCAGAUGAAUGCCAACUAAGCACCAACUAAUCUGUAAGAAGUGGUCGGAAGAAAGCAUUCCCCGAUAAAUGGAAGCUCAGUACAGUUUGCGAGAUUCUGAAAAAAAGAAACCCUCUAAACUGCACCAACUAUAGAGGUAUCGGUCUACUCAACAUUCCUUGCAAAAUCUUCUCUGCCGUAAUACGUGAACGUCUAAGGCCUAUCGUCAAAAACCUGAUAGGUCUUAAUCAGUGUGGUUUUAAAGCAGGAAUGUCCACAGUCGAUCAAAUAUUCACAUUACGGCAGAUCUUGGAAAAAAACCCGAAGAACAUCAAAUCCACCAUCUUUUCAUCGCUUUAAAGGCUGCAUAUGACAGCAUCUACAGAUACCAACUGUAUAGAGCCAUGUCUAGUUCUGGCAUCCCUGCCAAACACGUCUAUUUCUGCAGGGACGAACAAAAGAUAUACAAAAAUUAAGAAAAAUGAGUAUAAAAAAAAAGUUCGAAACCCGGCUGAUACUGAAAGUGAAAAGCCAUGGGUGUCUUUAUGCCAAAGACGGCCAAAAAUAUGCGGAUAAAAUGGCAAGAAUAAGUGCUUGGGAAGGCCUGUCGAAGAGUGGCAAAGUAAAUGGACCACACUACGAAAUUCUUUUUGGUAUUAUUUUCGUGCCGAAAAUAGUGUGCCGAGUGGCUCUGCAUCAACAACGCCGGUACGAUGGAUUCACCUUGAAUCCCUUAAAUUUUUAACACUCUACGUGAUGAUUCCAGAUGAUAAUUGUGGUAAGAUGCUUAUUGAAGACCCUCUGUUGAGAGUACUGAAAGCAAUAGAAAAUAAGGAGGUGAGGAGCACGAAGGAGCUGUUCAAGGAGAACGUCGUAAUCCAUGUAUCGGAAUUUAGUCCGCAAAGCGUUAUAUGGUUCCAAUCUAAGAUACUGGCCAUUUUGGGCGAGAAAACGGGAGAGCACUU